CGGACGGGUGAGUAACGCGUGGGAACCUGCCCUGUACAGGGGGAUAACACUUAGAAAUAGGUGCUAAUACCGCAUAAGCGCACAGUAUCGCAUGAUACAGUGUGAAAAACUCCGGUGGUACAGGAUGGACCCGCGUCUGAUUAGCUGGUUGGCGGGGUAACGGCCCACCAAGGCGACGAUCAGUAGCCGGCCUGAGAGGGUGAACGGCCACAUUGGGACUGAGACACGGCCCAGACUCCUACGGGAGGCAGCAG
rnacentral:rRNA from 1 species